CUUCGGCCAGUCCUUCCUUUUUCCUCUAACCCUGCAAAAAAUGAGCAGCGCUGUUGUUUUGUUCCAACUGACAAAACAGCUAAGAAACAGCAGAACAUGACUGCCCUUUGCAAAAUGGGCCAUGUGAUCCUCCUAGCUCAAUUCAACACUUACAGUAAAAACGAAUAGAAAGGGACCUGUUUAUGAAACUCUCCUGCUUGCCUUUGGAAUACUCUCAUCCUCUCCCUUCUCAGCCUCCUAAAUACCCAAGUGAAUUUAUAUAAUGAGCUUUAUUUUAUCACCCUGAAAUUCUUCCUCAGUCCAAAUUGCUAAUGUGGCAGGUUCCAGCUGCCCAAAUUCCCUAAACAACAUUGCCUGUUCCAUAAAAAGCAUGCAAUUACAAGCACAGCAGUCCUGCUCUGGUUCUUAGAACUAUAAACUGACUACACAGCUCCCUGGCCCGGGAAGGCUAUGAAACAGGCAACAUGGACAAUUUAAAGGUGUACAACAUCCGAGGUUCCAUUUCACCCUCAGGCAGCACGGAGUGGACAAGAGAUGGGGUCUCACUUUGUCACCCAGGCUGGGCUCAAACUCUUGGCUUCAAGCGAUCUUCUCGCCUUGGUCUCCCAAAGUGCUGGGAUUACAGGCUUGAACUACUGUACUCGACUGACUUUUCCUAUUUCUAAUGUCAGCAUGAAGAACACAAGAAGUCAGCUUCAAAGAUAAUGAAAAAUAAAACCAAGAUUCUCUUCUUUGCUGAUGAAGUCAGGAAGGUGGAAAGGGCAAAGCAAGAACUCUCACUCUUACCCUAUGAGUAAUUUCAAUAGAAAUCAAAGGCGUUAACUUCUCGGGUCCUCAAUUUUUUCUUCUCUAAAAAGAAAGAAUUGUUUAAUAAAACUCAUCCAAGGCUACAAUCAUCAAUGGCAGCUAAAACCACUUAGUGAAAGAAUUUUUUUUUUAAUAAAAAAAGGACAUUGGAUGAUGUCUCAACUCCCAAGCACUUGAUGUUUGACUUGGGAGUGGUGCCCUCAGUCACACCUAAAACUAUCUGCGGCAGACCCUGUUCUUUUUGGCUGACACAAAUGCCAUUCCCAACCUCCUUCUCCUCCUGUCUUGUCUCAAUCGUAGAGUCUAGAAGAGCAAACAUUCACUUUGCAGCCUCCCUUGUACCAAGGAGUGGCCAUGAGACAAUUCUGCCCAAUGAAUCAGAAGAGGAAUUGUGUUGAGGAUUUCUGGAAAGACUACUUCUUUUCCCAAGAAAAAGUGACAGACGCAGUAGGGGCUGAGCAACUUCCGUGCCUCUUCCAGCCUUACGGAUGUGCUGUUGGUAGCUGUGACUGCCUUGCUACUACGAGGAAAAGGAAGGCCAAGAGAAUAGCAGAGACACUCGCUCUGAUGCCUUUGAGCCAAUGAAUCAAUGCCAGAAGCAGCUGACCUCCAGAGUUCUUG
rnacentral:lncRNA from 1 species